rnacentral:SRP_RNA from 1 species
GCAGGGCGCGGUAGCACGUGCCUGUAGUUCCAGCUACUUGAGAGACAGGCAGGAGGAUCGCUUGAGCCCAGGAGUUCUGGGCUGUAGGGCGCUAUGCCAAUCGGGUGUCUGCACUAAGUUGGGCAUCAAUAUGGUGACCUCCUGGGAACGGAGAGCCACCAGAUUGCCUAAGGAGAGGUGAACUGGCCCAGGUCGGAAACCCAGCAGGUCGAAGCUACAUGAGUUGCCUCUAAAUAUGUGACUACUAGAUAGAGCAUUAUAGAAACAUCACU